rnacentral:rRNA from 1 species
GAUCCUGGCUCAGGAUAAACGCUGGCGGCGCACAUAAGACAUGCAAGUCGAACGAACUAACUCAUCUUUAGAUUGAGAGCGGUUAGUGGCGGACUGGUGAGUAACACGUAAGCAACCUGCCAUUAGAGGGGAAGUAACAACGAGAAAUCGUUGCUAAUACCGCAUAAGCUGAUAGUAUCGCAUGAUACAGUCAGAAAAGGAGUAAUCCGCUAAUAGGAUGGGCUUGCGUCUGAUUAGCUAGUUGGUGGGGUAACGGCCUACCAAGGCGACGAUCAGUAGCCGAGCUGAGAGGCUCUACGGCCACAUUGGGACUGAGAUACGGCCCAGACUCCUACGGGAGGCAGCAGUCGGGAAUAUUGCGCAAUGGAGGAAACUCUGACGCAGUGACGCCGCGUAUAGGAUGAAGGUUUUCGGAUUGUAAACUAUUGUCGUUAGGGAAGAAAUUUGACAGUACCUAAGGAGGAAGCUCCGGCUAACUAUGUGCCAGCCGCCGC